CCUACGGGUGGCAGCAGUGGGGAAUAUUGCACAAUGGGGGGAACCCUGAUGCAGCAACGCCGCGUGGGUGAAGAAGUACUUCGGUAUGUAAAGCCCUGUCAGCAGGGAAGAAAAUGACGGUACCUGACCAAGAAGCCCCGGCUAACUACGUGCCAGCAGCCGCGGUAAUACGUAGGGGGCAAGCGUUAUCCGGAUUUACUGGAUGUAAAGGGAGCGUAGACGGCAAGGCAAGUCAAGGGUGAAAUCCCCGCGCUCAACGUGGGAACUGCCUUUGAAACUGGCAAACUGGAGUGUGUGAGAGGAUAGUGGAAUUCCAGGUGUAGGAGUGAAAUCCGUAGAUAUCUGGAGGAACAUCAGUGGCGAAGGCGACUAUCUGGCACAUAACUGACGCUGAGGAGCGAAAGCGUGGGUAGCAAACAGGAUUAGAUACCCCAGUAGUC
rnacentral:rRNA from 1 species